rnacentral:misc_RNA from 1 species
UCAAACUUGGUCAUUUAGAGGAAGUAAAAGUCGUAACAAGGUUUCCGUAGGUGAACCUGCGGAAGGAUCAUUAUCGAGUUAGGGUCUUCUCAGGCCCGAUCUCCCAACCCUUUGUCGAACUUACCACUUGUUGCUUCGGCGGGCCCGCCUCUCCCUUCCGGGGAGGGGCCGCCGGAGGACCGUCAAACGUCCUCUGGUCCGCGCCCGUCGAUAGCCCCAAUUUACAAACUCUGAACAAAACGUGUCACAAUCUGAGUACCUAUUGAAAAUAAAGCAAAAACUUUCAACAACGGAUCUCUUGGUUCUGGCAUCGAUGAAGAACGCAGC